GAUGAACGCUGGCGGCGUGCCUAACACAUGCAAGUCGAACGGAAAGGCCCUGCUUUUGUGGGGUGCUCGAGGGGGGAAGGGGGGAGUAAAACGUGAGUAUCCCGCCCUUGUAUUUGGGAGAACUUCACGAAAAUGGGGAUAAUACAGGAGAGGAGAUCCUGCAGCAUGGGGGGGGUUGGAAAGUGUCGGCGGUUGGGGAUGGACUCGCGGCUUAUCAGCUAGUUGGGGGGGUAGGGGCUUACCAAGGCAACGAUGGGUAGCCGGCCUGAGAGGGGGAUCGGCCACACUGGAACUGAGACACGGUCCAGACUCCUACGGGAGGCAGCAGUAGGGAAUCUUGCGCAAUGGGCGAAAGCCUGAUGGAGCAACGCCGCGUGAGUGAUGAAGGUCUUCGGAUCGUAAAACUCUGUUAUUGGGGAAGAACAGCUGUGGAAGAAACUGUGCCCGUCGUGACGGUACCUAAAGAGAAAGCCACGGCUAACUUCGUG
rnacentral:rRNA from 1 species